GACUGAUUUUGUUUUGCUUUUUUGAUGAGAGGAGCGGUUGAUAUUUUGAUAAUUUGACAAUAUUUGGUUUUAUAUUAGUUGUUUUUAUUACAUAUUGGAAUAUUUGAUUAUGGUUAGUUUUUAAACAAGAAUUAGAGACUCUUUUAUAUAAAUUGUGAUUUUUGUUUUUCUCAGUUUUAACUGAAAGAAAUUGGCAGCUGAUUAUAUUCUUCGGGGGGAUUGUGUUACUUGAAUAGAUGGUCCACUAAUUAGUUUUCUUUUGUUUAUAGUUGGUGUAUAUCCGGUUUUUUAUAAAAAAUUAUUAUUUUUUGUGUUAAGUUUGUUUUAAUCCAGGUCAAUAUGCUGCUGAUAUAAAAGUGUUUAGGUGCAAUACAUUAUAAUAGAUAAUUUUGUAAUAAAUUAUUUUUGGGGACUCCGUAGUAAUAGAAAAUAAGUAUGUUUUUGUGAAUAAGAUUUAAUUAGGGUACACAUCGCCCGUCAAUUUCAAUGUUUAGUU
rnacentral:rRNA from 1 species